rnacentral:sRNA from 1 species
GAGUUUAUCGUCACCAGGUAAUAAUUUCAGGAUUGUGGCUUUAUGGCUCUCCCAUUCUUACGUGGAUCACAUGGAGUCUGCGCGCUCUGCUUUGAUUUGAACCCUUUGCCUUGGCUUCUAUUGGUUGGUGGCUGCACCUCUGCAGCUCCAGAAGAAACCACUAGCUCAGAAUCCGACGGCCACACGUUUCUCCAGCAGUUUCAUUCACAUUUCUCUUCUUCUGACCUCCAUGCCGAACAGACUAAAUGUAAAACCUGGAGACGUCCUGAAGGAAAAAUACCCUAUGCUGCAUGAUAAUUGUUUACUUUUCUAAUCCUAACCUACCUUUUUCCUUUUUUAUUUCUAUCUUUUGUACCUAUUUUUCUUAAUUCUUUUCCCCUAUGAGGGGAAAAUUAGUUUUAAAAUCAGGCAAGUAUUUGGGAUCCCUCAGCAUAUCUAGAACUUCUGAUCCAAUGCCUUUUUUUUAUUUUUCAGUCAGUUUGCUCCCAGGAAAGCCUUUUUGUGGAAAACAGUAGGCUCUUGGAAGACAGUAACAUAUGCAAUGAGACCUAUAAGAAAAGACAGCUCUUUCGGGGCAACAGAGAUGGCUCAGGGAGAACAUCUGGGAGUCGACAGAGCAGCUCAGAAAAUGAACUCAAGUGGUCUGACCACCAAAGGGCCUGGAGCAGCACAGACUCCGACAGUUCCAACCGCAAUCUAAAGCCCGCCAUGACCAAGACGGCGAGUUUUGGGGGCAUCACGGUGCUGACCAGGGGUGACAGCACUUCCAGUACUAGGAGUACCGGGAAGCUGUCCAAAGCAGGUUCUGAGUCUUCCAGCAGUGCAGGCUCCUCAGG